rnacentral:rRNA from 1 species
AUUGAACGCUGGCGGCAUGCCUUACACAUGCAAGUCGAACGACGCCAGGGGGCAACUCCUGGCGAGUGGCAAACGGGUGAGUAAUACAUCGGAACGUGUCCCGUCGUGGGGGACAACCAGUCGAAAGACUGGCUAAUACCGCAUGAGAUCGAAAGAUGAAAGCGGGGGAUCCGCAAGGACCUCGCGCGAUGGUAGCGGCCGAUGUCGGAUUAGCUUGUUGGCGGGGUAACGGCCCACCAAGGCGACGAUCCGUAGCUGGUUUGAGAGAACGACCAGCCACACUGGGACUGAGACACGGCCCAGACUCCUACGGGAGGCAGCAGUGGGGAAUUUUGGACAAUGGGGGCAACCCUGAUCCAGCCAUGCCGCGUGUGUGAAGAAGGCCUUCGGGUUGUAAAGCACUUUCGGACGGAACGAAAUCGCGCGGGUGAAUAUCCCGCGUGGAUGACGGUACCGUAAGAAGAAGCACCGGCUAACUACGUGCCAGCCGCCGCCGUAA